CCUACGGGCGGCUGCAGUGAGGAAUAUUGGUCAAUGGACGAGAGUCUGAACCAGCCAAGUAGCGUGAAGGAUGACUGCCCUAUGGGUUGUAAACUUCUUUUAUAAAGGAAUAAAACGAGGCACGUGUGCCUUUUUGCAUGUACUUUAUGAAUAAGGAUCGGCUAACUCCGUGCCAGCAGCCGCGGUAAUACGGAGGAUCCGAGCGUUAUCCGGAUUUAUUGGGUUUAAAGGGAGCGUAGAUGGGUUGUUAAGUCAGUUGUGAAAGUUUGCGGCUCAACCGUAAAAUUGCAAUUGAUACUGGCAGUCGUGAGUACAGUUGAGGUAGGCGGAAUUCGUGGUGUAGCGGUGAAAUGCUUAGAUAUCACGAAGAACCCCGAUUGCGAAGGCAGCUUACUAAACUGUGACUGACAUUGAUGCUCGAAAGUGUGGGUAUCAAACAGGAUUAGAUACCCUGGUAGUC
rnacentral:rRNA from 1 species